UGCUUAAUGAACAUGCAGGUAAACAUUAAAGUGUUUAAAUAAUAUAUCACUCUCAAGGUUGCACAGUGGACAUUAUUAGAGGCAAUUAAGGUAAAUUUUGUUGUGCUAUCAAUGAUUACAUUUUGACUAAUACAAAUUAAAUGUUCAGUUUAAUGAUGAGUCCCUAUCUGGUAGAGCCCUCAGUAGCUUCCCGGGACUAAAGCACUGGUACUAGACCUUCAGAUUGUAUUCAACCCCAAGUGACUUACACACUUACUGGGAACCAGAAUUUGAAUCUGGUUCUCUUAACGAAGUGAGGAGGAAUGGGAAUCGGAGAUAGACUCAAAAUUCUAAGAAAGCUGACCAUUUGAAGUAAAAGAAAGAACUGCAUAAAAGAAAUUAAUAUAAAUAUAGGAAAACCGUGCAAAUAGAGGUUGGCACUGGUGAACAACCCUAGCUCCAAAUCACUCAUCUACCACCAGGUGGUAGCUCAAAUCAACAGAGAAGAAGGGAAUGACAGGAUGACAAAGUGGGACUGGGUAGCUAUAUUGAGAGAUCAACCAGAAAGGGACAUCUUAUUAAAUUCAAAGUCUGAUUUUAGGGUUGGUUACUUCAGUAGCUCCCCAGAGCUUGAUCACAAUGGCUCCUUGGAGAGGAGGGCAGCUUUGUUAAAAGAAUAAACAUAAAAAAGGGCUGACUUGUAGCAUAAAAAAUUCCAUAAAAGCGUAUUGGAGGGGAAGAACACGAAAAGGUAAAAAGGUUGAAAAGGUAAACAGGGUGCUAGCGAAAAACAACCAACAGCAGUCGGUAAACACUGCCACCCAAACAGCAGGCUGGUCAAAUCAGAAAUAGGCCAGUCACGAGCAAAGUGGUAACAGAUAGGACCCCACGAUAAGAUAACAGAUAACAGGUAACAGAUAAGACACAAAAAUCCCACAGAAACUAAUCCAAAAGGCAGAAAGUUAGUCACCACAGACAUGCCACAUAUGCACUCCCAACCAAAAGCAAAAUACUCCAUAGGGAAAGCCUGAUCACCCACAGCACGAAUCUGAGAGGGAGUAGAAAUAAGUGUUGUCCAUACUAUAUACAGAGAAGGAUGUUGGAAGCAUCUAGGGAGGCCAAGUUGAAGCAAACUCAUGACUGGGGACACCUCUUUUCCCCUAGCAGAGCUCCACUGUGAAGGGCACUGAAGCUUGAGUUUGCCCACUUUGAUACAAAGAUCCUCAACCUCCCCCCCUCCCCACACCCAA